rnacentral:rRNA from 1 species
CGAAAGCCUGACGGAGCAAGGCCGCGUGAGGGAUGAAGGCCUCUGGGCUGUAAACCUCUUUUAUCAAGGAAGAAGAUCUGACGGUACCUGAUGAAUAAGCCACGGCUAAUUCCGCGCCAGCAGCCGCGGUAAUACGGGAGUGGCAAGCGUUAUCCGGAAUUAUUGGGCGUAAAGCGUCCGCAGGCGGCCGUACAAGUCUGUCGUUAAAGCGUGGAGCUUAACUCCAUUUGAGCGAUGGAAACUGUAAGGCUUGAGUGUGGUAAAGGCAGAGGGAAUUCCCGGUGUAGCGGUGAAAUGCGUAGAUAUCGGGAAGAACACCAGUGGCGAAGGCGCUCUGCUGGGCCAUAACUGACGCUCAUGGACGAAAGCCAGGGGAGCG